GGAAUAUUGCGCAAUGGCCGCAAGGCUGACGCAGCGACGCCGCGUGGGGGAUGACGCAUUUCGGUGUGUAAACCCCUGUUGCUCGGGACGAACAGCUCUUUUCGAGGAGCCUGACGGUACCGGGUGAGGAAGCACCGGCUAACUCCGUGCCAGCAGCCGCGGUAAUACGGAGGGUGCGAGCGUUGUCCGGAAUCACUGGGCGUAAAGGGCGCGUAGGCGGUGGCUUAAGCGUGCGGUGAAAGCCCGGGGCUCAACCCCGGGUCGGCCGUGCGAACUGGGCGACUAGAGCACUGUAGAGGCAGGUGGAAUUCCGGGUGUAGCGGUGGAAUGCGUAGAGAUCCGGAAGAACACCGGGGGCGAAGGCGGCCUGCUGGGCAGUAGCUGACGCUGAGGCGCGACAGCGUGGGGAGCAAACAGGAUUAGAUACCCUGGUAGUCCACGCCGUAAACGAUGGGGACUAGGUGCUUGGGGGAACGACCCCCUGGGUGCCGGCGCUAACGCAUUAAGUCCCCCGCCUGGGGAGUACGGCCGCAAGGCUGAAACUCAAAUGAAUUGACGG
rnacentral:rRNA from 1 species